UUUUAAUUGUGAUUGUCUUGUUAAUUUUUCCUUAUUUUGUUAAUGUUUUCUUUUAAGUUUCUUUAUUGGGGGGACUAGCGGUUUAAAGUUGACAGUAAAAUACAGUCGUUGGUGCAUGUGUAACAUUUCUCAGUUUUCCACGUAACGAUUCAGCCCCCUCUAGGUCCUCUGCUGUCAUGUUCCAAGACCUGAACCCCCCACCCCCAGAGUCUUUUACCUUGGUGCAAUACACCAGUCCAAGUUCUGCUUUGUGUUUUUUUUAAGUUAGUGAUUUAAUCAUGAGUAGCAAGAUUGUAAGAUAACAGGUACAAUUCAUACAGCUCCCACCACCAGAGUUCCAUCUCCCACCCCUCCACUGGAAACUUCCCUAUUCUUUAUCCCUCUGGGGGCAUGGACCAGAGAUCUCUGUGGGGCGCAGAAGGUGGGAGUUCUGGCUUCUGUCAUUGUUUGCUCUUUUUUUAAUUGCCCCCAGGGUUAUCGAUGGGGCUCGGUGCAGGACAGACGCACUGCUCUUGGGGCCAGUUCCCUGUCAGGUAGGACAGAGAGAAGUUGAGAGAGAAGGGGCUGGAGAGGGGGAGAGACAGACACCUGCAGCCCUGCUUCCCCUGCAAGGUUCAGCACAUGACGGGGGUCACAGGGCGUGACCUCUCAGAGUUGGGCCACACACAGAAUGUCACUGUUCAAAAAGGGUGAAUAGUAACUAACUGUCCAGCGGCUAAGAGAUACAUGGAGGGGCUGGGGAAUAGCUUCUGUGGCAGAGGGUUGCCUUACCCUGCUCAGGGCCCUGGGUUCGAGUCUUGGCACUGUAUGCUGGCACCGUGGAUAACCCCAGGGAGGCUCUCUCUGUCUCUCCCCACCUCCCCCCUCUUUCUCUCUCAAACAAGGAAUAGGAAAUUGGGUGGGAGGACCCUCCCAGUGACAUUGUAAGACUGAGUUCGUUCUCUGGCAUCACAUAAAAACAAAGUGAAAGAGAAAGGAAGGAAGGAAGAAAAAGAAAGAGUCCUAAGGAGGGCCGGGUGGUGGUGCACACAGUUGAGCACACAUGUUCCCACACGCAAGGACCCAGGUUCAAACUCCGGCUCCCCGCCUGCAGGGGAGAAGCUUCAUGAGCGGCGGAGCAGGGCUGCAGGUCUCUCCCUCUCUAUCUCCUUUUUCCAUCUCAAUUUCUCUCUAUCAAUAAAUAAGUACAUAAAUGAAAUAUUUAAAAUGAAGAUGUCUAAAAUUUUCCUUUAGAAAUUACAAAGAGACAUUCUGAGUGCAGGAGCCACUCUAGGGAGCGCCCCGAAGCCACCUCCGGGGUCUGUAAUUUGCCAGAAACACUCACUGGACUCGCGGCUGGCCCCUGCGGGAAGCUGGUAUUCGGGGCCUGGGUGGGGGUAAGGGGGCUCCGUCUGCCACCCCCUCCCUGUGGAGUCAGGGCAUGUCUCCUCCCGGCACUGCCAUGUGGCAGCAGUCACGGGGAGGGACACUGAGCCAAGCUCUGCUGCCCAGAGCUCGCUCAAGGGCUUGGUCACAUGGGCACCAUUGAUACUUGAGCCACAGACCCGGUGUGGUCAGCCUCUGCCUGGAACGGGGACAAAUCCUGUGCAGAUGACGGGACCUUGUAGAACAGGCCCUCACCCUUCAGCGGGGGGCCAGGCUUGGGGUGUCUGUGCCCCCCGCCAGCCCCUCCAAGAGCCAGUCGGGUGGGGGAGCAGGGGCUACUUUUGUUCUUAGACUCUAAUUGCCCGCUUCAGAUGGUUUGCUCAGGACCCCCAUGGCCCAGUGCUAGUUUCUGGCCCCCUGGAGAAGGGAGGACCACCCCAGCCCCCCAAGGCUAGGCCAAGCUCAGGGAGCUGGGAGGAAGGGAUGCGAGGCCAAGAAAAGGCCUGGUGGGAAGUUAUUUUUCAAUCCAGCUGGGCUUUACCUUACUAAUCUCCCCUCUGCGGGGUCCCAGGGCAGAAACCCCUUCUCUGUGUGAAGGGAGCAGGCUGGGCUCCGCCCCGGCCCCCCAGCCCCCAGUGUGGAGGGACAAUAAGUUGGAGCCUGGGAACGUGUCUCUGAAGACCACCAGCCUCCGCCUUGUGGAGGGAGCCAUGAGAAGCAGGGACAGGGGCUGCUCUCGCCACUGGGGACUAGGGGGGGAGAAAGAGAGAGAGAGACAGAAGACUGAAAUGGGUGCAGGCUCUGCCGUGCAGGCAAGCAGAUGAGGCCGCAGGAGCGAGGCUGAGAGAGAGGGAGCGAGAAAGAGAGAGAGAGAGACAAGACUGAAACGGGUGUGGGCUCUGCCGUGCAGGCAAGCGGAUGAGGCCACAGGAGCGAGGCUGAGAGAGAGAGAGAGAGGGAGAGAGAGAAAGA